ACUCCUACGGGAGGCAGCAGUGGGGAAUAUUGCACAAUGGGCGCAAGCCUGAUGCAGCCAUGCCGCGUGUAUGAAGAAGGCCUUCGGGUUGUAAAGUACUUUCAGCAGUGAGGAAGGUGGGUAUGUUAAUAGCAUAUUCUAUUUGUACGUUAGCUGCAGAAGAAGCACCGGCUAACUCCGUGCCAGCAGCCGCGGUAAUACGGAGGGUGCGAGCGUUAAUCGGAAUUACUGGGCGUAAAGCGCAUGCAGGUGGUUGUUAAGUCAGAUGUGAAAGCCCGGGGCUCAACCUCGGAAUUGCAUUUGAAACUGGCAAACUAGAGUACUGUAGAGGGGGUAGAAUUUCAGGUGUAGCGGUGAAAUGCGUAGAGAUCUGAAGGAUACCGGUGGCGAAGCGGCCCCUGGACAGAUACUGACACUCAGAUGCGAAA
rnacentral:rRNA from 1 species